rnacentral:lncRNA from 1 species
GCAGUUGUGCGUGUAUAUAUUAUAAAUUAUUCAAUUCAACAGUCUCCUCCAUUGAUACGAGUGUUACUUUGUUGUAUCAACAUGAAGAAGAAGACGGCUCUUCUUUGGCUGUUCCUAUUCUUCUCAGCCUUCUUGUUUCCUCUCUCAGCAUCAUCAUCAAGUAAGCCCCAACAUUUCAUAAUCUUCAUAUGAUAUAUAUUCAUUCUUAUCUCUCUCUCUCUCUCUUAAAAUUAUUGCAGGAAGCCUCAGUUCAAUCACGGAUCAUUUUCAGGUUCUUCUUCCUUUCCAUUCAUAUUCUUUUCCCCUUUCUUAGUAAUAUCAUUAUUGGAUUUUCUGUUCAGUUUGGUAAUUUAAAUGUGGAGUAGAUUGCACUGGAGACAGGAGAGGAGAAAGAAUUAUACAGAGAAAGAAGAAUGGAUAUUGAAACCAGUGACUAUCCAGGGACUGGUGCCAAUAAUCACCAUGAUCCAAGACCCCCUGGAAGCUUUUGAAUCUAAGAAAAUGCUACUUAUUAUGUAUUUGUACAAAUUAAAAUGAGGAAAAUUAAAAGAAUAAUUCCUCUAAUUCUUGAGUUUCAUUAAUUAUUUUGCCCUCAAAUAUUGAUCUUUUGUACUGUAUCCAUACUUUUUUUUUUUUUUUUUUUUUUUUUUCGGAUCAUUUUCAGGUUCUUCUUCCUUUCCAUUCAUAUUCUUUUCCCCUUUCUUAGUAAUAUCAUUAUUGGAUUUUCUGUUCAGUUUGGUAAUUUAAAUGUGGAGUAGAUUGCACUGGAGACAGGAGAGGAGAAAGAAUUAUACAGAGAAAGAAGAAUGGAUAUUGAAACCAGUGACUAUCCAGGGACUGGUGCCAAUAAUCACCAUGAUCCAAGACCCCCUGGAAGCUUUUGAAUCUAAGAAAAUGCUACUUAUUAUGUAUUUGUACAAAUUAAAAUGAGGAAAAUUAAAAGAAUAAUUCCUCUAAUUCUUGAGUUUCAUUAAUUAUUUUGCCCUCAAAUAUUGAUCUUUUUUUUUUUUUUUUUCCUUUUUUUUUUUUUUUUUUUUUUUUUUUUUUGGAGAA